rnacentral:sRNA from 2 species
GGAUGGAUGGAUCUACGCUCAGUUUUAAACCUAGUAGGCAUCUUCAACAUUUCAGAAUUAUCGAUACCAGGGGUCACUUUUGAGAAAAAUUAACAGCGAAAUGAGAUAUACAAUAGCACAAUCAAUGGCAAUCAAACCCUUUCGAUAGAAGUAUACAGGAACCGUUAAAUGUACAGGAAAAGGCAGGUCAAGAAUUGCAACAUUAGAACGCCGAACGCACAUCGCAAAAAAAAAAAAAAAAGGAAGGAAAGAGAGGGAACUGCAGAAGAAAAAAUACUAGUAGGUGAAUAACAUGUUAGAAAUUAAUUUUAAAGUCAAAACUAUCAUCAAUCACAGAACAAUCGCCAACUCGUGCCUCGCCAAACCCUCGUCCUCGAGUGUGGGAUAAUAAGGUACCAUCGCAUCAGCCCCUUGAACGUAGGCGUCAUUAUAUAGCCUCCAAUAUGGCUGCCGCACUUUCCUUGCGGGAUGGAACAAGCCUGCCCAAACAUAGUUCAUCACAAUGCCCGUGCCAACGGCCAUGCGGAUGGCCUCAAUAGCUUCGAUUAUCCGAUCAAUAACGUGAGGGCUUGUCUCAAAGAGGUUAGGAUACAGCAGAUUGAGGAGAUGGAGCAUUGCGUCUUCACAUCCAAGGCCAACAACACCAAGAGCAAUAUGUUUCACCACGCUGGCUGCUGUUUGUCGAUGCACUUGGUCACGAUCUAUUAAUGCGUCUUCAAGCAGUGGAGUGACAGCGUAAACGUAAUCUUUUGCCAUUUCGCCGAUAUAUUCAAAAAGGAAGGACAUAGCUUUGAGUACGCCAUUCUGGACAUUCAGCUCUGGCACUCGAUACUCGUUCAUAAGGGCAGGAAGAACCGUGAAAGGCGCACAAGUUUCGGCGACGAUACCAAUGGCAACAGCGGUACAAACGCGGGAUUGGCGUUCUUGCACUCGAAGGUUGUUGAGCAGGGUAGCGAGGACAUCUUGCGGGCCAAUAGCUUUUGCAAUGAAACCAAAUGUGUUAUUAGCUGCACGGCGUAUGCCCUUCUUGUGAGCUUUCAGCAUGUCGAGUAACUCGAAGCAGAUUCGCAUCCAUUCUCGGGCAUUAACGGAUUCAGGGCCUCGAUCUGCUAUUCGACCAACCAAAUCAAUAGUGUUCUCUUGUACUUUUUCGUGUCGAUUUCGCAGUAUCGGGGUGAGACGGGGUAAUAGGUCUCGGAUAGGCGGCUGCAUUUGAUUGAUACCAACAACAGUAACAAUAGACCGCAGAGCCCCGAGAAUAGAACCGAGAACUUCAGGAUACUCUUCGCCCAGAUAUUCGUAAAGGACGAUACCGAGUUUACCCAUGAGGGCGUCCUCACCACACUGUUUCAUGACCAGUGCAAUGCGGGAUAUAAGGUCGGCUGCCUGCUGACGAACUGUUGCGGAUUUGUUAUUCAAACGCCAGAGAAUUGUACUGACAAUC